GACCUUGUGGCGCAACGGUAGCGCGUCUGACUCCAGAUCAAAUCACGUCGGGGUCA
rnacentral:tRNA from 1 species